GCCCAACAGCUAGCCCACCAAAACAAUUUCAACAAACCCCUGUUAAUAACCCCUAAAUACCCCCGUAUUAAAAUUAAACAAACCAUUUUUCCCCCUUAGUAUAGGCGAUAGAAAAGGAACUACGGCGCAAUAGAGAAAGUACCGCAAGGGAAUGCUGAAAGAGAAGUGAAACAACCCAGUAAAGCCUAAAAAAGCAGAGAUUAAACCUCGUACCUUUUGCAUCAUGAUUUAGCGAGUGUACCCCAAGCAAAGCGUACUUUAGUUUGACGUCCCGAAACUACGUGAGCUACUCCAAGACAGCCUAUUAAUAGGGCACACCCGUCUCUGUGGCAAAAGAGUGGGGAGAGCUUUGAGUAGAGGUGACAAACCUACCGAACCUAGUUAUAGCUGGUUGUCCAAGAAAUGAAUAGAAGUUCAGCCUCUUGGCUUCUCUUUUCACCCUAGACUAACCCCUAUUGAUGCAAUAAAGAAACCAAAAGAGUUAGUCAAAGGGGGUACAGCCCCUUUGAAUCAAGACACAACUUUUUCAGGAGGGU
rnacentral:rRNA from 1 species